AGAGAUAAAAAAAGAGCGCGGCAGAAGCCGGUGGCAUGAUGAUGGCUAAAUAGGUUUGGCAUGUAAUUACCUUCAUUUGAUGAUGAUGAAAUGGCGUGGAAGAAACUGAAAAUCAGAAGGGAGGUGCGCCUUUUGGUGAUGCCUAAUUAUUGAUUCGGCAAGACGCAACGAUGAAGCAGGAACAACUAAAAGAGAAGAAGAAGCGCGGCAGACAACAAGAUGCAAUGAUGGUUGAUUGAUGAUUCGAAUCAAAUUUUCUUUUUAUUUUUUUAAUGAAUG
rnacentral:lncRNA from 1 species